AGCAGGGUGGUGGAGUGGUUUCAGUGUUGGACUAUGACUCUGGAGACCAGGGUUCGAUUCCCAGCUUGGCCA
rnacentral:tRNA from 1 species